ACACACACCCCGCCCCCCACACUCUAUGCAUAUAUGUGCCCGGGGCUACAGACAUAUAGUGCAGAUCUUUUACAAACUAAAACCUGCUCCCCCUCCCUUAGAUAUCCCAUAAUAACCACUCUUUGCCAACUUCUUCACUCUUGGCCUUACUGCUAACAUCCCAUAAUAACUCAUUACCCCUCCCUCCCCUUGGCCAUCCCAUAAUAAGCACCCCUCCCAGCACUUCAGCCUCAUAUCCCAUAAUAUUCAACCCAUCCCCCACCGACAGCCCAUAAUAACCACCCUCAGUUUGAUAUCCCAUGAUUGUCAGAAACUCACCCACCCCAUACUACAACAACGGACACUGGGCCUCCUCCCACACGGAUCCCGUAAUAAUCAGUCUCCCACUUUCUAUACUGAUAUCCCAUAAUAUCCAACCCCCCCAGAGCUGCCCUCAGUCCCUGCACUAGGGUUGAGAUUCUAGAUGCUCACUUUACCACCCACAGCCUUCCCAGUCUCUUUCUAGCUCCAUGGUCCAUAAAUUACCAUUCCUCCUAGCAAAGAGAUACUCACUAAUGAUCAGCAGCUCUGCUGUCACCCCACAAAUGGACAUCUAAAUCUCCUCCACUAACACUGGGAAAAUGUCCUAUCAUUUACUCUAUCUACUCUCGCAUCCCAUAAUUUCAAAAAGCCCACGAUACCAUAAUUGUCCCAACACAACCCAGUGCCACAUCCCAUAAUACUUCUGCUACACUCCAUCACCGCACACAGGUCUGGCCAGACAUCCCCUAAUUGUCACAACCUCCCCCACCUCUAGAAGUUGUCAGGCUCUUCCAACUAGAGCAGAGAGGGUGUGGCAAACUGCUAACUGCCCUGUCCCCACUAGCACACACUUUAGUCCCUUCCUGGGCAAUAGGAGCAUUCUGGGCUCUCAAAGUUCAGGACCCCCCGGACUCCCUAGCUCAUCAUUUGCAGACACUCAGGAACCAAGAGCCAACCUCGAGCCCCAACAAACCCCACCAAAUCCAGAAGUCCUCUACACUGCCACCUUCAAGUCCAGGCAGCCUCCGUGGACAGAUAGCCUAUCACCACCAUGGACUGAGAGUCCUCUACCAUGCCUUGCUCUGUACUCACCAUCACUAAAGUUCAUUCGACAUACCCUUGACAGAGUACUAACAAGGUAAAGAGCUAGCUACUUACCGACCGAGGAUACCAAGACACAGGUGCCUUCCUUCAAGAAACAGUCACAGCUGGGAACAGUAUCACAUGCCAGUAACCUCAGCACUCAGAGAACACACGAGAUGAUCAAGGGAUCAAGGCCAUACUCUGCUACUCAGUGAAUUCAAGGUCAGCCUAGGCUACAGUAAAAACAAGUCUCGGAUAAUUAUGAUUUAUUUAUUUAUUACCAGCACCGUGCUCU
rnacentral:lncRNA from 1 species